rnacentral:tRNA from 1 species
CCCCUGAUGGUCCAGUGGUGAAGACUUUGCACUUCCACUGCAGCGGGCAUGGGUUUGCUCCCCAGUCAGGGAA